rnacentral:rRNA from 1 species
UACGAAGGGGCCUAGCGUUGUUCGGAAUUACUGGGCGUAAAGCGCACGUAGGCGGAUUUGUAAGUCAGGGGUGAAAUCCCGGGGCUCAACCUCGGAACUGCCUUUGAUACUGCAAAUCUCGAGUCCGAUAGAGGUGGGUGGAAUUCCUAGUGUAGAGGUGAAAUUCGUAGAUAUUAGGAAGAACACCGGUGGCGAAGGCGGCCCACUGGAUCGGUACUGACGCUGAGGUGCGAAAGCGUGGGGAGCAAACAGG